UACGGAGGGUGCAAGCGUUAUCCGGAUUCACUGGGUUUAAAGGGUGCGUAGGUGGGCAGGUAAGUCAGUGGUGAAAUCUCCGGGCUUAACCCGGAAAGGUCAACUGAUACUGUGCGACUAGAGUGCGGAAGGGGCAACUGGAAUUCUCGGUGUAGCGGUGAAAUGCGUAGAUAUCGAGAGGAACACCUGCGGCGAAGGCGGGUUGCUGGGCCGACACUGACGCUGAUGCGCGAAAGCUAGGGGAGCAAACGGG
rnacentral:rRNA from 1 species